AUCGCACAGGCUGAACACUCACUAAAGUCUACUGUUACGCAUAUAGCCUUCCUUACUAACCAGAGCGAUGGUGGUUAUAUCGCCAUUUAAAUGCUUGGGAAGAAUCUCAGCUAAUACUAGAACUAGCCCCCAUACACACUUGGGUGAUAAACUUGGGAAAAUGCCUUUGCAAAAAGGUUUGGCAUCCUUCUGCUAGCAAAUCAAAUCAUUUAACUAAUACUUAAUGGCCAACUGUUUUGGCAUUGGAAAGAAACAUUAGAAGCCAAAGUAUGGCCCAUAAGUACUAAAAAAUUUGUUACUGGUAACUUCUCUCUACACAUAGAAAUCCUUAAUGAUGCUGGGCCUGACUUAGGUGAGCUCCCAGACUCCUGUAAUCAAACCCUCUGGUUUGAUUCAGAUGGUAGAGGCUGGACUCAUAUAUAAUGAGACAGAUAUAAAAACAGAAAAUGGCAAUGACACCCUCAUUCACACCAUUAAAGAGGUCACUGAAACUAUACAUUGGUUUAAUAGAAACUCUAAAGGCAAGUUAAAUGCCUCUCUAAUACCAUUAUAUAAGGUUACCAACAGUUUUACAUACUGAUAGAUCAAAAUUCAGGUCGCAUCCAGAAAGAGAACCAGUCUUACCUAAUUGGUAAUGGUACACAUGGAUUACUUUAUCAAGCCAUAGAAAUGUCUUUUUCUCCUAUCCUAGUUUAAACCACGGUCAUUCAAACUAGGAAUGCAAAGAUGCCAACAUGAUUAAAAGUAAUCAUGAUCUUUGUAUCACAUCUGGUUUUUUGGUAAUGGGAUCCACCAUAACUUUACAUCAGUGACACUGCGUUAUUUGUUCUUUGUUGUAAUAAGAUACAUGGACAAAGGUUUCCUACCCAAAUGGUCUAGAUGCUAUGGUACAGGAUAUCUCUCACCCCAAAUAACCAAAUUUAAAUACUAGUCAAGUUACUAACUUGGGAUCAUUUGUACAUAAAGUAACCUCCCACUAAAAAAAUUUUUAUGAGCUUUGAAAUCCAGUUAUACACAUGAGCUCUGGAUUUCAUCCUUUUGUUAGAGUACUCUUCCUUCAACUACGAGUCUCUGAACUAGAAAAAUCACUUAUCAAUAUUUCUAUAACUCUCAAAAAGUAUUAAUGAUAUCUUAAUUUACUUUCAAGUAAUAGAAUCCAUGAGUAGUUUAGCUUUAGCUGUACUCUAGAAUAGGAGAGUUUGUGAUACCCAAACUGCUCAAGGAGGAGCUUGUGCUCUUAUCGAAGAAAAAAAAUGCUGUUUUUCUGUUAAUAAGUCAGGAAUUAUAGCCCAAAAUCUUA
rnacentral:lncRNA from 1 species